rnacentral:rRNA from 1 species
UACGGAGGGAGCUAGCGUUAUUCGGAAUUACUGGGCGUAAAGCGCGCGUAGGCGGCUUUGUAAGUUAGAGGUGAAAGCCCGGAGCUCAACUCCGGAACUGCCUUUAAGACUGCAUCGCUUGAAUCCAGGAGAGGUGAGUGGAAUUCCGAGUGUAGAGGUGAAAUUCGUAGAUAUUCGGAAGAACACCAGUGGCGAAGGCGGCUCACUGGACUGGUAUUGACGCUGAGGUGCGAAAGCGUGGGGAGCAAACAGG